CCUCCUUCUGUACCCUGUCUUAUGUUCACGGAUGUUGUGAAACUUAACAUUUGAGAGUGUUUUAACUCUAAGAUAUCACCAUGUAUAGUGUUACAAAGCGUACGUUUCCAAAUCCCCAGCCCUAUAUUUACAUCGCUGCUCCUUGUUUUAAUGGUUCAGAAAACACAUGGCAGAGAAAUUCAAUAUUUAAAGCAGGAAGGGCUCCUUCCCCAGGGCCGCGGAGCAGCCCCGGCACGCGUUGCCAUUCCUGGCAGCGUCACCGUCACCGUGACGGGGCCCUGGCAGCUGCGGGGGGCUGGGAAUUGCAUCACGCCGCUAAUGACAGAAUAAUAACCAAGUGAUUAACCUCGGGCGUCCUUGAGCGUAGAGCGAGGUGCCAGGGGACGAAACCAGCCUGCUGCUCCGCGUGGGGAAUAUCGUACAACGCACACCCGCGGCGUGAUGGACUGAGAGAACAUCACCCGCGUUCCUUUUGGUUCGGUCGCUUGGUUUUGUUUCAUUUUGUUUGUUUUGUUUUCUCAUUUUUUGUUUGUUUGCUCAGUUGGUUUUGUUUGUUUGGGUUUUUUGUUGGAUUGGUUUUGUUUUCUCGUUGGUUUUUGGUUGGUUGGUUUAGCUUCUGUUUUUUCCUUUUCGCUUCCAAUGGGACGGUCGCCACACACACCCCCCAGCUGGGGAAAAUAGAUAAAUCAGCUCGAAACCUGAGGAGUCGUGAUGCAGCCACUGAAGUGCAACAGUUGCCAUGAUUCUCCACACUCUCCUCUAUUUGCUGAAAGUUUUCUUCUCAAAAAAUUGAGACUUUGAACGGACAAAACAUGAAAAGACUGUAAGAAGUAUUUCCAAUAAGAAUUUAGGAUCUGCUGACAGCUGAAAGACACGUAGCUUAGCCUGCAUUCUUGCAAUAAGCAUUCCUCAGUUAGGCUUUCUCAUUUCUUCCCUGGGUGCACUGCGGACAAUGUUGGCUCUUCUGCACCCCCUGGUUCACCUUCCCCGUGGAGAUCAAGGGUGUGUGCUCAACCAGCGAUACAUAGUCGAUAAGCUUCGCUUUCGGAAAGGAAUUGGAAUAACAGAAGUGUCUGGUCUUAUCCGAAUCCAGUUUCCGAUCCAGAUAUGCCUGCUGAGAUCAGACCUCGGUCAACGUUUCUGGCCUUUGGUGUGGCAGCUCCAGGUGGGAGCACAGAAUAAAUCAGUGUUUGUUGUCUGCUGGAUUUGUAACAGCUCAAAACAAUUGCUAUUAGAGAGUGACAAUCACCCUCAGAGGAGCAAUCUAAAACCCAAAGGUGCUCAAUAGGACAACAGUAAAGCACUGAAGGAAGAACAGACACAAGUCGCGCUGUUGUUUCUAUCCCGUGGUCCGGGUUUGACGCCGCAGCUCAGCAGCGAUCCCGGCAGGACGCGGAUCCCGUGUCCAUCCUGCCCCGUCCAGCUCCCCGUGGACUCUGCUGCUCCACCCGCCCUCGCUCGCAAACAAACCCAAACUCUUCCAUCCAAC